UGGGGAAUAUUGCACAAUGGGGGGAACCCGUGAUGCAGCGACGCCGCGUGAGCGAAGAAGUAUCUCGGUAUGUAAAGCUCUAUCAGCAGGGAAGAAAAUGACGGUACCUGACUAAGAAGCCCCGGCUAACUACGUGCC
rnacentral:rRNA from 1 species